rnacentral:rRNA from 1 species
AGAGUUUGAUCCUGGCUCAGGACGAACGCUGGCGGCGUGCCUAAUACAUGCAAGUCGAACGCUUUUUUCAAUCAUCGUAGCUUGCUACACCGAUUGAAAAUUGAGUGGCGAACGGGUGAGUAACACGUGGGUAACCUGCCCAAAAGAGGGGGAUAACACUUGGAAACAGGUGCUAAUACCGCAUAACCAUGAUGACCGCAUGGUCAUUAUGUAAAAGAUGGUUUCGGCUAUCACUUUUGGAUGGACCCGCGGCGUAUUAACUUGUUGGUGGGGUAACGGCCUACCAAGGUAAUGAUACGUAGCCGAACUGAGAGGUUGAUCGGCCACAUUGGGACUGAGACACGGCCCAAACUCCUACGGGAGGCAGCAGUAGGGAAUCUUCUACAAUGGGCGCAAGCCUGAUGGAGCAACGCCGCGUGAGUGAAGAAGGUCUUCGGAUCGUAAAACUCUGUUGUUAGAGAAGAACAUGCAGGAGAGUAACUGUUCUUGUAUUGACGGUAUCUAACCAGAAAGCCACGGCUAACUACGUGCCAGCAGCCGCGGUAAUACGUAGGUGGCAAGCGUUGUCCGGAUUUAUUGGGCGUAAAGGGAACGCAGGCGGUCCUUUAAGUCUGAUGUGAAAGCCUUCGGCUUAACCGAAGAAUUGCAUUGGAAACUGGAGGACUUGAGUGCAGAAGAGGAGAGUGGAACUCCAUGUGUAGCGGUGAAAUGCGUAGAUAUAUGGAAGAACACCAGUGGCGAAAGCGGCUCUCUGGUCUGUAACUGACGCUGAGGUUCGAAAGUGUGGGUAGCAAACAAGAUUAGAUACCCUGGUAGUCCACACCGUAAACGAUGAAUGAUAAGUGUUGGAGGGUUCCCCCCUUCAGUGCUGC